UACGGGGGGGAGCAAGCGUUGUUCGGAUUUACUGGGCGUAAAGGGCGCGUAGGCGGCCACCGCAAGUCGACUGUGAAAUCUCCGGGCUUAACUCGGAAAGGUCAGCCGAUACUGCGGGGCUAGAGUGCAGAAGGGGCAACUGGAAUUCUCGGUGUAGCGGUGAAAUGCGUAGAUAUCGAGAGGAACACCGGUGGCGAAGGCGGCCUUCUGGACAGUGACUGACGCUGAGACGCGAAAGCGUGGGGAGCAAACAGG
rnacentral:rRNA from 1 species